rnacentral:rRNA from 1 species
UACGGAGGGUGCAAGCGUUAUCCGGAUUCACUGGGUUUAAAGGGUGCGUAGGCGGGUAGGUAAGUCAGUGGUGAAAUCCUGGAGCUCAACUCCAGAACUGCCAUUGAUACUAUCUAUCUUGAAUAUUGUGGAGGUAAGCGGAAUAUGUCAUGUAGCGGUGAAAUGCUUAGAUAUGACAUAGAACACCCAUUGCGAAGGCAGCUUACUACGCAUAUAUUGACGCUGAGGCACGAAAGCGUGGGGAUCAAACAGGAUUAGAUACCCUGGUAGUCCACGCCCUAAACGAUGGAUACUCGACAUACGCGAUACACUGUGUGUGUCUGAGCGAAAGCAUUAAGUAUCCCACCUGGGAAGUACGUUCGCAAGAAUGAAACUCAAAGGAAUUGGCGGGGGUCCGCACAAGCGGUGGAGUAUGUGGUUUAAUUCGAUGAUACGCGAGGAACCUUACCUGGGCUAGAAUGCUGGGAGACCGCUAGUGAAAGCUAGUUUUGUAGCAAUACACUGCCAGUAAGGUGCUGCAUGGCCGUCGUCAGCUCGUGCCGUGAGGUGUUGGGUUAAGUCCCGCAACGAGCGCAACCCCUAUCUUUAGUUGCCAACAGGUAAUGCUGGGAACUCUAAAGAAACUGCCGCCGUAAGGUGUGAGGAAGGGGGGGAUGAUGUCAGGUCAUCAUGGCCUUUAUGCCCAGGGCUACACACGUACUACAAUGGGGAAGACAAAGGGCUGCAACAUAGCGAUAUGAAGCCAAUCCCAAAAACUCCCUCUCAGUUCAGAUUGCAGGCUGCAACUCGCCUGCAUGAAGCUGGAAUCGCUAGUAAUCGUAUAUCAGCAAUGAUACGGUGAAUACGUUCCCGGACCU